UACGUAGGGGGCUAGCGUUGUCCGGAUUUAUUGGGCGUAAAGAGCGUGUAGGCGGCCAGAUAAGUCCGCUGUGAAAUCUCGAGGCUCAACUUCGAGCUGUCGGUGGAAACUAUCUGGCUAGAGUCCGGAAGAGGAGAAUGGAAUUCCUGGUGUAGCGGUGAAAUGCGCAGAUAUCAGGAAGAACACCCGUGGCGAAGGCGGCUCUCUGGGACGGUACUGACGCUGAGACGCGAAAGCGUGGGGAGCGAACAGG
rnacentral:rRNA from 1 species